GUGCUUUCCUCUUAGUUGCACAUUCCGGACUAAGACUCUGUCACCUUCUUUCAGGGUGGACUCAACAACAUGUUUGUCGAACCUUGACUUGUUGCGAUCUCCCAUCUUCUUUGCAUUUUCUGCAGCAACCUGGUAGCUUGUUUCAAGGUGGGAUUUCAGGUUCUGUACGUACUGUGAAUGUGACACAGGUUGGUGAUUGACUGGUAAACCAAAGGCCAAGUCGACUGGCAGCCUUGGCUUACGCCCAAACAUUAACUCGUAAGGGGUAAAACCAGUUACGUCAUUUUUUGUACAGUUAUAGGCGUGGACUAAUGGUUUGACAAAAUCACGCCAAUGGCUUUUUUUCUGGUUCUCAAGGGUUCCCAACAUAUUGAGUAGGGUCCUAUUGAAACGUUCGACCGGGUUUCCUCUUGGAUGAUAUGGAGUAGUUCUUAUUUUCUUGGUACCAAUGAGUUCACAGAGCUCUUUUAUUGUUCGAGACUCAAAAUCAGGGCCUUGAUCGCUAUGGAGCCUCUCAGGGAUGCCAUAGUGAACUAGAAAGUGGUCCCAUAAGCAUUUUGCAACUGUUCGAGCCUUCUGAUUUGGGGUUGGGAUGGCCACGGCAUACUUUGUAAAAUGGUCUGUAAUGGUGUUACUGGAGUCUGGCUCCAGUGUGAGAAAGUCCAUACAUACCAACUCUAGUGGUCUUGUUGCUGAAAUGUUGCAUAGUGGUGCAGCUUUCUCAGGUAGGGAUUUCCGUCGUAUGCAACGAUUGCAUGUCUUGAUCUUAUUCUCUACGUCUGCUGACAUUUUAGGCCAAUAGAACCGUGUUCUAAUGAGAUCUAGAGUGCGUUCUACACCCAUGUGGCCAAUGUCAUCAUGUAGACUUUUUAGGAAAAGUGGUCGCAGUUCUUCUGGUAGCACGAGUUGGUGGGAUGUCUGUGCACCAUCCUGUCUUUUCCUGUACAACACACCAUCCAACAGUUCUAGUCGGUUCCACUCUCGUAACAACAGGCCAACUUCAGGGAUUUCUUUCCUCAUGGAAGGUGGUGGUUUGUUACCAGACUCCAUCUGGUGGAUCACUUCUCGGAUACUGACAUCAGCUUGUUGUUUUUCUCUUAGCUCAGUGGCUGUGAAGUGGGGGAUUACUUGUAAACCAGGUUGAUCUUCCUCUUCAAAACUUUCUGGUAUGGCUUUUGCAUGAUGAGCAAGAGACGUCACCAAGGUUACAGUCGGCAGUGAUUCUGUUGGUUCCUGAUCAAUGUAGUGAACUAGGUGCUUCUCACAGAUGGCUUUAACUGUAUUUUGAGUGAUUAAGUUUCGCUGUUCAGGUUCGGAUAAGUGCUUUUGAGCAAACUGUCUUAUUCUUUCCAUUUCUUUUUGUGAUGUGAAGUCAUUUUCCAAUCCAUCAUGUGGCCGACGAGAAAGCCCAUCUGCAUCUUGAUUUUGUUUUCCUGCUCUGUAUUGCAACUGAAAGUCAAACGUUGACAAAGCAGCUAACCAUCGAUAGCUUGUCGCAUCAAGUUUAGCAGAUGUGAGAAUGUACGUUAGUGGGUUGCUGUCAGUUACCACUAGGAAUGGACUUCCGUACAAAUAAUCUUGGAAUUUCUCUGUCACUGCCCAUUUAAGGGCAAGAAAUUCGAGUUUGCGGGCUGGGUAUCUGGCUUCACACUGUGAUAAGCCACGGCUGGCCACGGCUGGCAUAUGCAAUGACACGUCUCUGUCCCUGCUGUUCCUGGUAGAGUGCAGCACCUAACCCCACAGUACUUGCAUCUGUGUGUAGGAUGUAGGGUAACUUAGGGUCAGCGAACCCAAGGACAGGAGCAGUAGUCAGCAUGUCAAUCACAGUCUCAAAUGCUACUUGGCAUUCCGUAGUCCAUCUAUCACCAAAUGUGUCUUUGGGAUUAUGGUACUUUUCCAUGUUCACUUUGAGGUUACUGUGUUUCCGCACUGGCGGAUAACCAGCAGUGAGAGCAUUGAGGGGUUUCACAAUCUUUGAAUAAUCUUUUAUGAACCGGCGGUAAUAACCGCAGAAACCUAGAAAGGUUCUUAGUUCUUUCAGAUUAGUUGGCUUUGGCCAGGUUUUGAGGGCAGAAAUCUUUUCGGGAUCUGUCGUGAUGCCUCUCUCAGACACAAUGUGACCCAAAUAUUUCACAGAAGUCUGGAAGAACUUACAUUUAUCUGGAGAAAGUUUUAGGCCGAAUUCUUUCAACCUGUUGAGGACGUUCAACAGUCUCUCUUCGUGCUCUUCUAGUGUUGCAGAGAACACUAUCAGGUCGUCGAUGAAAACGAGAGCUUGUUUCAGAUUUAGUUCUCCCAUGCAACGUUCCAUGAGCCUCUGGAAUGUGCUAGGGGCAUUUGUGAUCCCCUGUGGCAUCCGGUUAAACUCAAAGAACCCAAGGGGACAGACGAAAGCAGUUUUGUGCUUGUCUGACUCCUCCAUUUCGAUCUGAUAGAAUCCAGAUUUCAGAUCUAGCACUGAGAACCACUUGGAUCCGUUUAGUGCUGAGAGGGACUCUUCCAGAUUGGGUAGAGCAUAAGAGUCCUUCACUGUUUGGAGGUUGAGUUUUCUGUAGUCUAUGCAGAGUCUGACAUCGCCGUUCUUUUUCUUAACGACCACAAUGGGUGAAGAAAAGGGUGACUCUGAUUCACGGAUGAUUUCGCUGUCAAGGAGCUCUUGUAGAUGUUUGCGUACGGCUUCAAUAUCUUGUGGAUGAAUGGGUCUAGCCCUGUGCUUGAAAGGUGUUUGGUCACUGAGCUUUAUGUGGUGUUUUAUUUUGUCAGUUCGUCCAAAAUCAAGUUCAUGUUGUGCGAACACAUCUGGCAUGGAAUUUAACUUUUCAGUGAUCCGCUCUUUCCAUUUGUGUGGUAUUGAUGAGUCUCCGAAGUCAAAAUUGAUCUUUGGUUUUUGUUCAGGUUUAAUUGAUGUAUUUGCAUUGGAAGAAUUGAUGUGUUGGACACUUUGGAUGGCUUUUAUUUCCGCUAUUGCACUUUUUGGGGAGAUGAUGACUUCAUGAUCAGACUCGUUUUUGAGGAUCACUGGUAUAUAGCCAGGUAGUUUGGAGGGUAGGCUUGCCAAAGUAUUGGUUACCAUUACACCACCAGGUAGGGAAGAGAUUGUUGGUGAUUCAACUACAACCCAUUUUUCAGGGCUUAGUGAUUUGCAGUUGAUGGAUCCUUUGAGGACUUUAGUUUCAUUGGGGCUAAUGAUCUCAGCUUCUUUACUGGAAAGUCUGACGACUCCGAGACUUGAGUCAACUUUCUGUUUGUGUCUCAUUUCAAGUGUCUGUAGAACAACUCUGUAACCAUAUGGCAGUGACUGGAUACUCUGGAAGGCAGUAUCUGAGUAUUGCUCAAAAAGAAUGUCAAGAGUGUUCGUUCCGAUCAAAACUGAUGAUAAAGUUGAGCGCAUGUCGGGCACAAUUAGGGCGACAGUGGGCACUGUAAUGUUCUGACCAAGAAUAUUUUCGGGAAAUGUGAUACCUACUUCAAUAUAUCCUGAGUAGGGGACAUCUUGACCAUUAGCAGCUUCCACUUCAAGUAAAUUGUUCAAAGGCUCGAUGGGUAAGUGUGACAAAUGUUUCUCAUAAAAUGAGUUUGGGAUCGUAGUUACUUGGGAUCCUGUAUCAAGCAAGCAGUCACAGUCUCUGUCUGCUAUGGUCACUUUCGCUGUAGUUUUGGCUCCAAUGAGCCCUUUUGGAAGUUCAGCUUUUCGUUGAUUGGGGGAUGAGCAUGCUAAUGAAGCGUGCUGUUUCUGUCUGGGACGCUUGAUUGGUGUUUCAGCCUCCAAUUGUCCCUCAAUGGUGGCUGAUAUUAGUUUAAAUGAGCUGAUGCCUGAUUGUUUUUCUUGUCCCAUUCUGCCUGUUUCUCCUGUAAGAGCUUUCUUUUUGAAGCAACAAGAGAUGAGUUUGGUUCAGCUUCACAUUGUGGCUUUAUAUGCCCAUCUUCACCGCAUCUAAAACAGUACCAAGGUCUUGGUCUGUUGCUCUGGUUGUGAUUUUCAUUUCGGUUGCUGGGCUGUGUAGUUUGAAGUCUCGCUCCCUCGACUGUCGGUUUAACGCUUACAUGUCGAGCUGCUUUCUUUGAUUGGCACCUGUCUUUCUGUGUGAGUUUUGAAAGUUGUGUUUGCAAAUCAACGAUUUGCUUUUUGAGAUCUUUUAUUUCAGAUUUGGACUCAUCAUGUUUGUGUGGUGGUGAACCACAUUGUUCAGCACUGAAAGCACUUUGGAAAUGGGAAGAAACUUUAUGUCGUGAUGUACCAAAGUAUUGUUUCAUGCGACACUCUUUGGAGUUCCGCUUGUCCUCUUCAGUGCGGAGUAGCAAGAGGAGUUCUGCAAAAGUAGGUGGGUUGUGUUUCUUUUGUUCCAGUUUUAGUUCAGAAAUCAGGUUGUUAUCCCAGCAGCCUCUGCAGAAUUGUUUGAGAAGCUGGCUGUUUAGAUCAGAUCCAUUAACACCGCCUCUUCUGAAAGUGGUGUUGAGUAACACUUGCAAUCGCUGGAGGUAGGCUGAGGGUUUUUCACCGAAGUUUUGCAGUGUAUUGAGGAAUUUGGCAUAGAGGUCAUCCCCAUCUUCCACUGUGCCAAAGGCUGAAUCAAGAAUGUCCAGAAACAUUGAUGGAGGUGAAGAAGGCGUCAGAUGUUUCACUAUGUCAAUAGCUGGUGACAGGAGGCUUUCAAGUAUUUUUCGUGAUUUGUGUAAGUCAGAUUGUCGCACAUCUUUCAGCAGGAAUUCUGCAUUGGAUCGCCAUGUUUCAUAAUCCACUUCAUUGUUUGGACGGGGAGUGCGUCCAGAGAAAGAUCUCAGUCUCAAUGAGGUGUGUGUUUCUGUUUCUUCAUGUUUAACGAUGUGUUCAACAACAACUUUUUGAAGUUCAGGUGGACAGAGGUCUGUAAGGCUGAGAUUGGGCUGUGCCUUUUCUUUCUGGGGUGACUGAGGACUCACCUGGGCUACAGGCUCAGGAGAUUUUUCUUGAAUGUUGUCCACACUGGUGUCAGGAUUUUCGAUUUGACUUUGAGAGUCUUCCUCACCGAUAGUUUCACUAAUGCGAGAAAGUUCUGCUUUCAACACAUCUGUAAAGUCUUGGCCACUGUGUUUGGCAAUCUCUUUCAACUCUGAGAGGUAGGUUUUUGUAGCCGAUUGGCUGAUUGCAGGUGUGUAAACAUUUGCUAAGGCCUCAAUAAGGUAAGUGACAUCCUUCUGAGAUUUGCUGGCAAGUCUGUGUGGCAAUAAAGGUGAGAGUGACUGUAUGGCCGUGCCAUAUGUGUACACAAUAAUGAUCUGCAAACCUAACUCAGGGUGAGGUAGAUCAACUGGGACUCUGUUCUGAAUGGAACCAUAUUGUUUCAAGAAGUCAUAAAGCUCUUCAUCCGUUUCUGUAUCAGUUAACCCACUAACUAAGAGUGAGUUUGGGAUUUUAACACCUUUGGUCUGGAUGAUGUCCAUGUUCACGGUACAGUUAUCUGGUCUCUGGAAUCAAAUUGCAUCUGGUUUAAGCCACUCCUGGCUGGGCUCGCCAAAUUUAUGUAGCACUCUUAUGGAUGAGUAUAAAAGUAGAGCUACUGGACCAGAUCUAGGCUCUAAGAGUGGAAUAACAGUGCAGAAAGAGACCAAAGACCAGACACUUUCAGGUCAAGAAAUCUCAAUUUAUCAAACAGUUUGAACAUGAAAACACAACAAUUGCAAUGAAAUAAUAAACAAUUAUCCUGCAGGGAUUUAAAGAAAAUGAAUUAAUGAAAACUGAUUUUUAAGAAAAUGAAAUCUACUCUCUCAGUUUCGUUUUUUCAGCUUAAAUGUAUUUAAUCUUCUAGUUUGAUUUGACAGGUCAAACUAAGAUUUAAUUCAGGUAAAUAGGUUUCUCCUAUUUUAGUUUCUUUAUCUCUGAGUUAACUCUUUGUUUCUUUCAACAGGUGAAAUACCUUCUUAGAUCAACCAUGAAUUAUAUUGCAACACUUCACAAUCAUGACAAUUAUGAAAAAGUUCAACAUAAAACAUCAAUCAAAAUCAAAUGAAAGUCUUUCAAAUUCAGUUCAAAUUACUUCCAGAUCAAAUCAAGGAUUUCUAGUCCAAAAAGGGAGAAGAAGAAACAGUUCGUUCGAUCUAAUGUGAAACCAAAAAUCCAGUUGUAGUCCUCAAAUUGCUUUGGAAAAAAAAAAAAGAAAGAGGAGAUAGGAUGAAGAGGUUUUGAUACUCCUACCACUCUGGCAGCAGUUUACCCCAGUCUGUCCACUGGUGUGUAGUGAUGGUUUCACCAGCACAACGCAGGUUCUCCAAUCUAGUGGUUCUUGGGUGGCUCGCCUACUCUGUUGUCCAGUGUGCUCACUCCCCACACAUCAUGGGCAAGAUCCUUUCCUUAGUUUGGCUUGCAUGAAGCCAUGUGGGCAAAGGGGAAAGGUGGGGGGAGGGGGGAAAAAACCUGACCUGUAUAACAGGCCAUGAGCAAAAUAAAUCAGUCUCACAUUAAACAUUUCUGCUACACAAACAGAUCCAUCACAUGCUCAAAAUAGUAACAUAAAAUCUCUUUUUGCAUCUUCCAUAUCAAUUAAAGAAAAUAAAACAACUCUUAACGUGAGGUAAAAAGAGGGGCUCAGCGGCCGCCAUGCUUCGCUCUGCAGCGUGGCCGUCACAACGGUGAAUAAAACCAGAAAAACCAAAGUUUUAACUCACCAAAGCCGCUGAAGUUCACAAUCCUAGGCUCUCAAGAAUCAAAGACCCUGUGAAUAUCCCUUCACUAGUCUUUUUUCAUUUGUUUGUCCUCCUUUUCUUAACUAGCUGCUCUCGCGUCUUCUCCGGCUUUCGGCUCCGUGCACUGAGCUUCCUGCUUCCGAAGAGUGCACCGCAACUCUUAAAGGGGCAGCGUCACAUUUUAUUUUUUGUCUGACAACUCUAAAUUAAUACACAUAAGGGAGGCUACAACGAUUUUUAAACAUCCAAAAUAAUUACAUACACACAUUUUUAAACCUCACAUGAAUUUAUACAUUUUUUAAAUUACAUUUUUAAUCAACUAUUUACACCAUGAUGUCAUUUUUUAAUGUGGGUUACACUAGCAUCCGCCAAGAGAGUUGGGGAUCUCUGCACCUUGUCGGUUCACCCAUCCUAUAUGGUGUUCAGCCAGGAUGGAGUACUCGUGCACCUCUGGCCUAACCCGGCCUUUCGUCCAAAGGUGAGCACUUCGGACUUCCGGUCGCGAGUGAUUUGGAUCAGAAUGCUUGGCUCCCUGCCUGGCUCGUCUGAGGACAACCCACGGCUAUGGUUGCAAUGCCCGGUCAGGGCACUGCAACCAUAGCCGUUACAUAGCCGUUACUACCAUAGUGCGUUACUAUGUCCAGCGCACAGCUGGCUUUCGUGCUACGGACCAGCUGUUUGUGAGGUUUGGAGCUAGGGGGCGUGGAGCCCCGCUGACCUCUCAACGUCUCGCCCACUGGGUGGGGGGCGCUAUUGCAGCUGCCUAUGAGGCACAGAAUCUCUCGCCGCCGGCAGUGAUUCGUGCUCAUUCAACACGACAUGUGAGUGCCUCUGCGGCCCUAUGCAGAGGGAUCACGGUGAGUGAUAUCUGCCAGGCUGCCUCCUGGGCCUCCACGUCCACUUUUGUGCGUUCAUAUCUGAUGGAUAUGUGCACAGACACUGUGGCCAUGUCGGUUUUCAGUGAGAACACGUGUUCUGUUGCUGAACUGUGUUGGUCCCUGUGGCCCGGCUGCUGCGUCCCGAGUGGGGUUGCAGCCCAGGGUUUUCCCCGCCUGCCGCUCUGGCUCUGCCGCGGCUUGCAGAUGUUGUGACCGCGGCGGUGCUUAGCGGAAACAGGAGUUCUGUCGCUUGCCGUUUUUGGUCUUUUUAGCCCGGCUCCCGAGUGGGGUCGCGGCCCAGGGUUUUCCCCGCCUGCCGCUCUGGCUCUGCCUUGGCUGGCGUAUAUUGUGACCCUGUCGGUGUUUACCGGGAACAGGAGUUUUCUGCCUCUUGCCGUGUUGAUCUUUGGCCUGGCUCCCGCUUCCCAUGUGGGGUCGCGGACUGCGGUUUUCCUCGCCUGCCGCUGUGGCUUCGUCCUGGUCGGCGUGUGUGUGUCGCUAUGGCGAUGCUUAUGCACUUUUUGGGCAGUGCCUCGGUGCAGGCUCCUUGCCCCAUUUUUUUCCUGGAAGUUAUUUCGGCUGUUCUGGAUGUACGGUUUGUUUACUUCCACCUUUUUCCAGACCAAUCCUGUCAGCAUGCCAGCUGGGAGUACAUUCAUCCCCUACCGCCUCCGCCUUGGUGAGUACCAAUAGCGAAGCCCAUAGGCAGGCUAAGCAUAUCACGACGUAGAAUUAGUAGUAACUAAACGUAACUCCAGUUCUACGAGUGUAUGCGUGCCCGCCUACCUGCUGGCCCAGCUGUUUGCUUCCUUCUUUGCUGAUUCAGAACGAGGGAGAUACGCCGACUGUUGGUUUAUACCCUCUGGGAGGGGCGUGGUACUGUGCCAACACACGGCUAGGAUUGGUGCGCAGGUUUCAAUUGUUAUCUCAGUGGAUUGGCUGGCGCCUGAGGAGUACCACUAGCGAAGCCCGUAGGCGGGCACGCAUGCACUCGUAGAACUGGAAUUACGUUUAGUAAAUACUAAUUACUCAACCACAAUUUCACAGGACCACCUUUUAUCAACAUAAAGUACUUGUGUUCCAUCACACUGGAUGUGAACUAUGUGAAAGACUGCCCUAUCUCUCAAUGAUACAUAAUCCUUUAAAAAAAUUCCUGGAUCCAGACAGUGACCUGGAUCAUCACCAAAAUUUAAUGGAUUCUAAGUUAGCCCAAGACCCACCUUUCCACAAAGUUUCAUUGCAAUCCGUCCAUAAGUUUUUCUGUAUUGUUGCUAACAAUCAAACCAACAAACCGGCGUGAUUCCAUAACCUCCUGGCGGAGGUAAUAAAAUAAUAUAGAAUGUGGUUGCACAUUUGGGUGCACCACAGAAAAAAAGUGGAAUUAUUGACAAUGAAAGUAUUUAACAGUCUCUUCAAUCAAUGUUGUCCUCAGUGUGUGAAGAUGUCUGCUGCCAGCAAUCUGCGCUCUGAAGCUCAGUUUCUGUGCUCCAUCUGUCUGGAAGUGUUCACUGAUCCAGUUUCCACACCAUGUGGACACAACUUCUGCAACGAGUGCAUCACUCAGCACUGGAACACCAAGGUCAUCUGUGACUGUCCCCUGUGUAAAGAGGUUUUCUCAAAUAAACCUCAGCUGAAAGUCAACACCUUCAUCGCUGAGAUGGUUUCUCAGUUCAGACAUGAAGCUGAACUCAAAGCCAGCAGCAGCUCAGAGCAACAAGCUGCCAAACCAGGAGAAGUUCCCUGUGACCUCUGCACUGGAAGCAAAGUGAAGGCCCUCAAGUCCUGCCUGGAGUGCCUGGUCUCCUACUGUCAGACUCAUCUGGAGCCUCAUCUGACAGUGUCAGUCCUGAAGAAACAUCAGCUGAUGGAGCCUGUGGAGAACCUGGAAGGCAGGAUGUGUCUGAAGCACCAUAAACCUCUGGAGCUGUUCUGUCAGAGAGAGCAGACAUGUGUCUGCAUGAUGUGCACUGUUUUAGAGCACAGGAAACACAAGGUUGUUCCUCUGAGUGAAGAAUGUGAAGGAAAGAAGAAGGAGCUGAGGAAGACAGAGGCUGAGAUGCAGCAGAUGAUCCAGGAGAGACGAUUGAAGAUCAAGGAGAUCAGAGAGUGUGUGAAGAUGAGUAAAGCUGCUGCAGACAGAGAGAAAGCAGAGCGUGUUGAGGUGUUCACUGCUCUGAAGGAGUGUGUUGAGAGAGGCCUGAAGCAGCUGAUGGAUAGGAUGGAGGAGGAAGAGGAAGCCAGAGAGAAACAGGCUGAAGAUCUCAUCAGAGAACUGGAAGAGGAGAUCUGUGAGCUGAUGAUGCGGAGCUCAGAGGUGGAGCUGCUCUUCCUCUCUGAAGACCACCUCCACCUCCUCCAAGGCUUCUCCUCCCUGAAAGCUGCUCCACCCACCAAGGACUGGACACAGGUCAGCGUCCGUCCAUCAUCAUAUGAGGGGACUGUGGUGAGAGCUGUGGCUCAGCUGGAGGAGACUCUCAGCAAAGAGAUGAAGAAGCUGUUUGAGGCUGAUCUGAAGAGGAAGCAGCAGUUUGCAGUGGAUGUGACUCUUGAUCCUGAUACAGCUCAUCCUAAUCUCAUCCUGUCUGAUGAUGGAAAACAAGUGAGUCAUGGUGAUGUGGAGAAGAAUCUUCCAGACAACCCAGAAAGAUUUGAUUCAUGUGUGAGUGUUUUGGGAAAACAGAGUUUCUCUUCAGGUAAAUUUUACUUUGAGGUUCAGGUUGAAGGAAAGACGAAAUGGAUUUUAGGAGUGAGCAAAGAGACCAUCAACAGGAAGGGAGGGUUCACAAUGAGCCCUGAUCAAGGUUUCUGGACAAUAUGGCUGAAAAAUGGAAAUCAGAUCUCAGCUCUGAAAGGCCCUGCAGUGCGUCUGUCUCUGAGUUCUGCUCCUGAGAAGGUGGGGGUGUUUGUGGAUUAUGAGGAGGGUCUGGUCUCUUUUUAUGAUGUAGCUGCUGCAGCUCCGAUCUACUCCUUCACUGGCUGCUGCUUCACUGACAAACUCCUCCCAUACUUUAAUCCCUUUAACAAUGACGGUGGUAAAAACUCUGCUCCUCUGAUCAUCUGUCCUGUCAAUCAAAGUGUCUGAUGAGGAAGAUUCACCAACAAUUAAUGAGCUUGUUGGAAAGUAAAAGAUUGACUCUGAUUUAUUUGAUCAAAUCCAGAUGUUCAGUCUGCACUAAACUCACAUUGUUCUCUUCAGUCUUUGAUUAUUGGACCAUUGUUUGAAUGAAUCCAGACCAAUCAGUCAUGAUGUCCACUUCCCUAAUAUGAAGUGCUGAAGCUGCCCUGACCCACUCAGACAUGGACUCCUCUACACCUCUGAAGACCUGCUGGUUUAAGCAGGUCCUUUGACUCCUUUGACUUGUGAGCUGUUAGCUUCUUGGAUCAGACUUGUUUGUCCACUGAGUGAGAUGUGGGGAAUUCAGAGGCCAAGUCAACUUUUCAAAGUGUUUGUUGUGUUGCUCAAAGCAUUCCUGAAGCCUUUUAGCUCUGUGGCAGGGUGAGAAAUGAAAAGGAAGAAGCAAGGAGAAUAAGAAGGACUGAAUACAAUCCAUGUGACAAACACCAUCCAUCCAUCUUCUCCACCUCUUUCUCCAGCAGAAGUUCAGGGGCUGUUGUAGGAACUAGCAGCUUGAUCAUUUGUCUCACUGUGGACUGCUAAAUGUCUCAAAUCUCUCAGAUGACUUUGUGUCUUCUUCCAGCUUCAUGCAGCUCAACAAUUCUUCACAGAUCUUCUUGUGAUGCUUCCUUCACACCAGCAGAUGUUUCUUGUGUUUGGUGUUUUUCUUGGUCACAGUUGUUCUUCAGUUUGGAUCAAUCUUUCAUCUGAACUCAAGAUAACAUGUUUUAGACUCAUUAUCCUGAAAGUUCAUUUAUUUCUUCCAGCAGCUGUGAGAAUGUUUAAUGGAUAUUUUCAAUAAAAACAUGAAAUGUUACCACUGUUUCACUUGUGGUUUUUAUUAGGGACUGAGCCCUCCGGGCAUGGUGGCCUUCAGCCACCAUUCCCGGCGGCCAAGGUCUCUAUUGUUCUUCCGGUGUUUGUUUCCCUCACGGUUAUUAUUAUUCUGACGCCCAAACAAACCCUAAUUUGACCCCCUAAACAUGCACGAAAACUCACCAAAUUUGGCAGGCAUGUCUGGACCUGCGAAACAUUUGAUAAAAUGG